rnacentral:rRNA from 1 species
AGUGAACGCUGGCGGUAGGCCUAACACAUGCAAGUCGAACGGCAGCACAGUAAGAGCUUGCUCUUACGGGUGGCGAGUGGCGGACGGGUGAGGAAUACAUCGGAAUCUACUUUUUCGUGGGGGAUAACGUAGGGAAACUUACGCUAAUACCGCAUACGACCUACGGGUGAAAGCAGGGGAUCUUCGGACCUUGCGCGAUUGAAUGAGCCGAUGUCGGAUUGGCUAGUUGGCGGGGUAAAGGCCCACCAAGGCGACGAUCCGUAGCUGGUCUGAGAGGAUGAACAGCCACACUGGAACUGAGACACGGUCCAGACUCCUACGGGAGGCAGCAGUGGGGAAUAUUGGACAAUGGGCGCAAGCCUGAUCCAGCCAUACCGCGUGGGUGAAGAGGGCCUUCGGGUUGUAAAGCCCUUUUGUUGGGAAAGAAAAGCAGCAGGUUAAUACCCCGCUGUUCUGACGGUACCCAAAGAAUAAGCACCGGCUAACUUCGUG